rnacentral:rRNA from 1 species
CCUGAGAAACCUAAAAGUUCGAAAGAGGAGAUUCAACGUCAACAUGUACAGUAUUUACGUGAGUAGUGAUGUGAAUUGUCGAUAAAGUUUCUGACUUCUUCGACGCCCACACAUUUUCAUGUCUUUUUAUUGCUGUACUACUGUCGGCGUGCACUUCUCCUCUAGUAGGACGUCCCGACCUGUUAAGCCUCAGCCUACGGCCCAGAUGGUAGCCUUCGAUACAUUCAUUUGUAUUGGAGACCUCUGGUGUUUCCCGGUCUGAGUGCCUGACAGUAUUGAAGCAAACGAUGGUAUUGUGCCGCAUCUUUGAAUGCGUCUAGCCUGUCGCAAGCUUGAUUAAACUGUCAACACGUAGGCUAUGUUUCUAUGUUUGCGGUUUUUUCAGCUGUUAGCCGACAGUGUUCUUAGACUGGCCAGCAUUACCUGUCAGGGACGCUAUUGCUUUGGGUACUUUCAGGACCCGUCUUGAAACACGGACCAAGGAGUCUAACAUGUACGCGAGUCAUUGGGUAUAUAUUUUCUUCGGAAUUUAUAUAAAACAAACCUAAAGGCGAAAUGAAAGUGAAAGCAAGGCCUUGUGCCACCAAGGGAAGAUGGGUUAACUUUUACAAUUUACCCCGCAUUCCCGGGGCGUCUCAUUCUCAUUCACCGCGAGAGGAGGCGCAC